rnacentral:rRNA from 1 species
GACGAACGCUGGCGGCGUGCCUAAUACAUGCAAGUCGAGCGGACGGAUGGGAGCUUGCUCCCAGACCGUCAGCGGCGGACGGGUGAGUAACCCGUUGGCAACCUUCCUGUAAGACUGGGAUAACUCCGGGAAACCGGGGCUUAUACCGGAUAACUCUUUCCCUCACAUGAGGGAAAGCUUGAAGAUGGCAUCUCGCUAUCACUUACAGAUGGGCCCGCGGUGCAUUAGCUAGUUGGUGAGGUAACGGCUCACCAAGGCGACGAUGCGUAGCCGACCUGAGAGGGUGAUCGGCCACACUGGGACUGAGACACGGCCCAGACUCCUACGGGAGGCAGCAGUAGGGAAUCUUCCGCAAUGGGCGAAAGCCUGACGGAGCAACGCCGCGUGAGUGAUGAAGGUUUUCGGAUCGUAAAACUCUGUUGUCAGGGAAGAACAUGUACCGAAGUAACUGUCGGUACCUUGACGGUACCUGACCAGAAAGCCACGGCUAACUACGUG